UAUACUUAAGUGUAUUUGAGCACGAAGAAUUUUGAGUUCUUAAGGUUAAGUUCAUUACUUAAAAGUAUAA
rnacentral:tRNA from 2 species